rnacentral:lncRNA from 1 species
CCCCGCCACAUUAUUUAUGUAUGUGCCUGUCCAAAGUCAGGAGCCUGUAAUUCAGUGGUUGUCGUUUGUUUAUGUGUUACAUAUUUGUUUUUCGUUCAUUUUUUUUUAUACAAAUAAGUCUGUUAGUUUUCUCGUUUGAAUUGUUUUACAUUGUCAUAUCGGGGCCUUUUAUAGCUGACUAUGCGGUAUGGGCUUUGCUCAUUGUUGAAGGCCGUACGGUGACCUAUAGUUGUUAAUGUCUGUGUCAUUUUUGUCUCUUGUGGAUAGUUG